rnacentral:rRNA from 1 species
AAGUCCCGCAACGAGCGCAACCCUCGCCGUUAGUUGCCAGCACGUUUGGGUGGGCACUCUAACGGGACUGCCGGUGUCAAACCGGAGGAAGGUGGGGAUGACGUCAAGUCAUCAUGGCCCUUACGCGCAGGGCUACACACGUGCUACAAUGGCGGUGACAGUGAGUUAAUCUCUAAAAACCGUCUCAGUUCGAAUUGGGGUCUGCAACUCGACCCCAUGAAGUCGGAAUCGCUAGUAAUCGUGGAUCAGCAUGCCACGGUGAAUACGUUCCCGGGCCUUGUACACACCG